rnacentral:rRNA from 1 species
GACGAACGCUGGCGGCGUGCUUAACACAUGCAAGUCGAACGGAAAGGCCCCCAUCUUGGUGGGGGUGCUCGAGUGGCGAACGGGUGAGUAACACGUGGGUGAUCUGCCCUGUACUUCGGGAUAAGCUUGGGAAACUGGGUCUAAUACCGGAUAGGACCAUGGUUUAGUGUCUCAUGGUGGAAAGAUUAUUGUUUUGGUGCAGGAUGAGCUCGCGGCCUAUCAGCUUGUUGGUGGGGUAAUGGCCUACCAAGGCGUCGACGGGUAGCCGGCCUGAGAGGGUGGACGGCCACAUUGGGACUGAGAUACGGCCCAGACUCCUACGGGAGGCAGCAGUGGGGAAUAUUGCACAAUGGGCGCAAGCCUGAUGCAGCGACGCCGCGUGGGGGAUGACGGCCUUCGGGUUGUAACCUCCUUUCGUUAGGGACGAAGCCGCACUUUUUUUGGGUGUGGUGACGGUACCUUUGUUAAGAAGCACCGGCUAACUACGUG